GCCUCGAUGGUGAAAUUGGCAGACACAGCGGACUUAAAAUCCGCCGCUUAGCUGAAAGGCGGCGUGCCGGUUCGAUCCCGGCUCGAGGCACCA
rnacentral:tRNA from 1 species